CCAUGCACCGAAGCUGCGGCAGCGACGCUUAUGCGUUGUUGGGUAGGGGAGCGUUCUGUAAGCCUGCGAAGGUGUACUGUGAGGUAUGCUGGAGGUAUCAGAAGUGCGAAUGCUGACAUAAGUAACGAUAAAGCGGGUGAAAAGCCCGCUCGCCGGAAGACCAAGGGUUCCUGUCCAACGUUAAUCGGGGCAGGGUGAGUCGACCCCUAAGGCGAGGCCGAAAGGCGUAGUCGAUGGGAAACAGGUUAAUAUUCCUGUACUUGGUGUUACUGCGAAGGGGGGACGGAGAAGGCUAUGUUGGCCGGGCGACGGUUGUCCCGGUUUAAGCGUGUAGGCUGGUUUUCCAGGCAAAUCCGGAAAAUCAAGGCUGAGGCGUGAUGACGAGGCACUACGGUGCUGAAGCAACAAAUGCCCUGCUUCCAGGAAAAGCCUCUAAGCAUCAGGUAACAUCAAAUCGUACCCCAAACCGACACAGGUGGUCAGGUAGAGAAUACCAAGGCGCUUGAGAGAACUCGGGUGAAGGAACUAGGCAAAAUGGUGCCGUAACUUCGGGAGAAGGCACGCUGAUAUGUAGGUGAAGUCCCUCGCGGAUGGAGCUGAAAUCAGUCGAAGAUACCAGCUGGCUGCAACUGUUUAUUAAAAACACAGCACUGUGCAAACACGAAAGUGGACGUAUACGGUGUGACGCCUGCCCGGUGCCGGAAGGUUAAUUGAUGGGGUUAGCGGUAACGCGAAGCUCUUGAUCGAAGCCCCGGUAAACGGCGGCCGUAACUAUAACGGUCCUAAGGUAGCGAAAUUCCUUGUCGGGUAAGUUCCGACCUGCACGAAUGGCGUAAUGAUGGCCAGGCUGUCUCCACCCGAGACUCAGUGAAAUUGAACUCGCUGUGAAGAUGCAGUGUACCCGCGGCAAGACGGAAAGACCCCGUGAACCUUUACUAUAGCUUGACACUGAACAUUGAGCCUUGAUGUGUAGGAUAGGUGGGAGGCUUUGAAGUGUGGACGCCAGUCUGCAUGGAGCCGGCCUUGAAAUACCACCCUUUAAUGUUUGAUGUUCUAACGUUGGCCCCUGAUCGGGGUUGCGGACAGUGUCUGGUGGGUAGUUUGACUGGGGCGGUCUCCUCCUAAAGAGUAACGGAGGAGCACGAAGGUUGGCUAAUCCUGGUCGGACAUCAGGAGGUUAGUGCAAUGGCAUAAGCCAGCUUGACUGCGAGCGUGACGGCGCGAGCAGGUGCGAAAGCAGGUCAUAGUGAUCCGGUGGUUCUGAAUGGAAGGGCCAUCGCUCAACGGAUAAAAGGUACUCCGGGGAUAACAGGCUGAUACCGCCCAAGAGUUCAUAUCGACGGCGGUGUUUGGCACCUCGAUGUCGGCUCAUCACAUCCUGGGGCUGAAGUAGGUCCCAAGGGUAUGGCUGUUCGCCAUUUAAAGUGGUACGCGAGCUGGGUUUAGAACGUCGUGAGACAGUUCGGUCCCUAUCUGCCGUGGGCGCUGGAGAACUGAGGGGGGCUGCUCCUAGUACGAGAGGACCGGAGUGGACGCAUCACUGGUGUUCGGGUUGUCAUGCCAAUGGCACUGCCCGGUAGCUAAAUGCGGAAGAGAUAAGUGCUGAAAGCAUCUAAGCACGAAACUUGCCCCGAGAUGAGUUCUCCCUGACUCCUUGAGAGUCCUGAAGGAACGUUGAAGACGACGACGUUGAUAGGCCGGGUGUGUAAGCGCAGCGAUGCGUUGAGCUAACCGGUACUAAUGAACCGUGAGGCUUAACCUU
rnacentral:rRNA from 1 species